rnacentral:rRNA from 1 species
GACGAACGCUGGCGGCGUGCUUAACACAUGCAAGUCGAACGGUGAAGCUCCAUCUUUCUGGCGUGGAGCAGAGCCGAGCGGGGGAGUAACACGUGAGCAACCUGCCCCUGACUCUGGGAGAAGCGCUGGAAACGGGAUCUAAUACAGGAUACGAGAACGGUCCACAUGGGCACUUUCUGUAAAGGGUGUCGUUUCGGGAUGCGAGUGCGGUACAUCGGUUUAUUGGUGAGGUGAUGGAUCACCCAGGCGACGACGGGUGGCCGGACUGAGAGGGAGACCGGCCACAAUGGGAUAGAGACACGGGCCAGAGUCCUACGGGAGGCAGCAAUGGGAAAUAGUCCACAAUGGGCGAAAGCCUUAUGCAGCGACGCCGCGUCGGAGAUGACUGUCUUCGGGUUGUAACCCUCUUUCAGCAGGGAAGCAGCGAAAGUGACGGUAACUGCAGAAGAAGAACCGGCUAACUACGUG